AGGGGCGGGGUUUUCCAUUAAAAAAACUUGGAUGUCCUCGACUUUUUUUUGGGUCCGUAAUUUCCCACCAACUUUUCCGGCUCGGGAUGCAGGAAUGGAGCAGUCCGAUAACACUCCCCCCAUAAUAUCCGAGCGGCUCAUCGUCGACGGCACGGAGACGCCGGUGGCGCUGCUAGCCGACGGCAGACUGCGGUGGUCCAAUGGAGUUCGGCGGUGUUUACAUGUUGACAAAGAGGUUCUCGGGUUCGUCACUGAUGGUGUCAGCAUCAAGAUCAAAACCAUCCUGGAGGCUGUUGAUGGCUGCUGUCAUGGAAGCAGAAAACUGGUUAGAAAGGAUAUCGUGUUUCAACCCUUGUCUGAGGAAUCCCAAAGGCUUUGGUCCCAAAAGCUUCGUGAAUACCUUGAUUCGCUUGGUCGUCCUAAAAGACUUUUUAUUUUUCUUAAUCCAUUUGGUGGGAAGAAAACUGCCCCCAUGGUCUUCAAUGAUCAUGUAAAACCUCUUCUUGAAGAUGCGGAAAUCCAAAUCACAGUCCAAGAAACCAAACAUCAGUUCCAUGCAAAGGAAGUUGCUCAUGCUCUAGAUAUUCCUAAGUAUGAUGGGAUCAUAUGUGUUAGCGGUGAUGGAAUUUUGGUUGAGGUUAUAAAUGGACUACUUGAAAGAGAUGAUUGGGAAACUGCCGUAAAGAUACCUAUUGGUGUAGUUCCUGCAGGUACGGGUAAUGGUGUGGCAAAAUCUCUUCUUGAUUCUGUUGGUGAUCCUUGCACAGCUGUUAAUGCUGCUCUUGCCAUUAUACGAGGCCAUAAACGAUCACUAGAUGUGGCUACAAUCACCCAAGGGGGAACCAGAUUUUUUAGUGUUUUGAUGCUUGCCUGGGGGCUGGUGGCAGAUGUUGAUAUUGAAUCUGAAAAAUAUCGGUGGAUGGGUAGUGCUCGUUUUGAUUUUUAUGCUCUUAAUCGAAUUUUCCAUUUGAGGCAAUACAAUGGACGUAUUUCUUUCGUGCCUGCACCUGGGUUUGAAACUCAUGGGGAGCCUGCUAGCUACCCUGCCAAAUCCACUAGCAUUGACUGCAAAAGUACAUCAACUGAAUUGGAACCUAUCAAGUUACAGAGUCUUAGGUAUCGGGGACCUGACAUCAACUUGGAGAAUUUGAGUUGGAGAGUUAUAAACGGACCAUUUAUUUCUCUUUGGAUGCACAAUGUACCUUGGGGUACUGAAAACUUGAUGGCAGCACCUGAAGCACAGGUUGGUUGAUGUGUCCAAAAUUAAAAUGCAGACAAUAGCGUGCGACUAGCAGAGGAGUCACAGUUGAGCAGCUCGAGACCUUCGUCCAUGGGCUCGAGCGCCGAGAACUCCCUAUCGUACACCCAUGGAGGAACUCCAUUCGGGUUGAGUUCUGCUGAAAGGUCCUCUGUUUUACUGGUGUUCGAUAAAUUCAACGGACAUAAUUACUGUGAGUGGGCUCAAGCUAUACGGCUCGCUAUUAGUGGUCGUGGCAAAUUAGGCUUCAUCACUGGUACUUCUAAGGUACUAAACGAGUCAGACGUAGCAGCCCUGUCGAAGUGGGAGACCGAGAACUUGCUAGUUGCUUCAUGGUUGGUCACAGUUCUGACUUCAUAGGUUCGACACUCUUUCAUGUUUCUGCCUAUUGCGAGAGACAUCUGGGAAGCUGUUUGAGAAUCAUACUCGAAGACAGUGCUCGAACAUAUGAGUAGAAAACUCGAAGUUGGUAGAUUAAAUAAGUUGAACGUGAUUUGACCGAAUAUUGGUUAGAACUAGUUGCAAUAUGGUAGGUGAUCAACCUCAACAUAGAAGAGGAAUGGUCCUGUGCCCGUGAUGCAGCAAGGUACAAAAAACGAGUUGAGGAUGAGCGGGUGUUUCAAUUUUUGGCUGGUCUUCAUCACUCAUUAGAUGAUGUCUGAAGCAGAAUCCUAGCUCACUCGCUAUUAUCCUCGGCACGAGAUGCAUUUGGAGAAGUCCGUAGAGAGACUUCUCGUCGAAAGGUGAUGCUUACUGACUAUGUUCCCGUAUCUUCCUCUUCUGAAUCUUUUGCCUUGGUAAGUAGGAACUUUGAUCAAGGUACGAAAGAGAUAAAAGGGAAAAUCUUGUGUGAUCAUUGUAAAAAGACUGGUCACACAAAGGGCAAGUGUUGGGAUCUUCAUGGGAAGCUUGCUGAUUGGAAACCAUGCAAGGGUAAGGCACGUGGAUAUCAAGCUACUUCUGAAAAUGCCCUUGACAAAUCUUUUGCUAUCCCUCAAAUGGAUAAAGACCAGUUAAUUAAGCUCCCAGAGGUGUUAAAUACGCUACAACGACCUGAGCAACCAUCUCAAAACCCACACACUAUUUCUGUGGCUAAGCAAGGAUCCCACAUCGGGGAAGAUGAUUGGCAGUGCUGAGAAGUGUGAUUGCUAUAUUACCUUAAUGAAUCAACUUUCUCAGACGGUUAUGCGGACUUAAUCAUUAUCAAGGACUGCCCAAGAUUACCAUUACUGUCAGUGAUGUCUGAGAUGAGCAAUGGACGUCACGUGAAAUCUCCGUAUGUCAUCUACCUUAAGGU